GGAAGGCUGGGUGCCAGAGACACUCCACAGAGCAAUGCCAUCCUUCCAAGGAAAGACUGUCUCCAAAGAAUGAGAAAGGACAGAUGACCACAGAUUGUUCUGGAACAUAAGCCCAAGAGUCAGGCUGCAAGAGAAGGCUGAAGAGAAAAUUUGUCCCGACUCUUUAAAAGAAGGAAGUGUAACAACGUCAUGAAAACCAUGGAGAGACGGAGAAACUUCUACAGACUAGAGGAGAAUGAAGAAACAUGACAACUAAAUGUAAUAUGGCACCUUGGAUUGGAUCCUUGGACAGAAAGAUGGCGUGAAAGAAAAAAUUCAAAUAAAGCAUGGGGUUCGGGUGAAAGAGCUUCAACAUACAUUUAUUUAAUGCAUACGCAAUUAUUGGAAGAAUAUAUUUAAUAAUGCCACAACCACAAAAGGCUUGAAAGUCUGAACUCUGAAGCACUUUGCAGAUGAAAGCUACAUUUGCUACAAGCCAGGACAGUGUGAGAGUGAGAAUGCCUUCCCAUCCAUCAGGAGGGCUGGCUCUGGCAAAACUGGCCACUGCCUCUGGAGAAAUCAGGACAAAAAGACUCAGGCAACUGAUGCUGGAAAGAACUGCUGAGAGACGGUCCCUUAACAUCUGACACUGCUGUAUUGAGCAUGGAAAGAAACACAAUCCCACCCCGGCCUCCCUGUCUUGACUUAUUUGGUUAUCUUUAUCUCUCUAGGGCAUAGAAUCUAGGGCCUCUAGAGAUGACUGAGGAAAUGAUGUUUCCAAAGGAUAAGAGGACAUGGGAACUGAGAAUCAAUGAAAGGAAAGUGUCUCUUCAAUUGUUUUCCUUCACUUCUCACCUUCCAUUAUAAGACGGAAACCUGAUCAUCAAACUCCCCUUAACAACCUCUCCCAGGGCUCCAGGAUGUACAUACAUUAUUCUGAUUCCUCCAGGCUUCUGACUUUUCCCCACAUGAUAUACACCAUCGCCUCCACUACUGAAUUUUAUUCUGUUCCUUACAAUAGCUCUCAAGUAUCUUACUCUAAGCUGGUAUUCGUACCUGGAUCUACAUCAAUGACAAGCAAAAGAAGAAGGGGAAAGAGGAGAAGAAGGAAAAGGAGGAUGAGAAGAAGAGAAGGAGGAGUAACGGAAGGAGGAGAGAGAUGAGAAGGAAAAGGAAAAGACAACAGAAGAAAGGAAAAAGAAUAGCACAUGCAAAAUUAUUAAUUUGGGGAAGAAUUCAAAAAGAAAAGAAACAGCACUAUUUAUUUAAUGUAAGUUUUGAUACUGAAAAUAUAAGAAUUUAUCCAUAGGCCCUCAAAGUGCCAAGAGCUAAUAAUUAAUAGCUGGAGGAAUUGGUUUUAUUCACAGCAAGGACACUUUGGGCUAUUAACCAAGGAAGAGAACAUCAGAGGAGAAAAAAUGAGAACUUUCCACCCCCUCUUCCUGAACUAUCCUUUAGCUAGCACACAAAACCCGGCCAAGCAUUGCCUCCUGAGGCUAGAGAGGGUUUGCUUGUACUUUUUUGGCUAGUUAUGUGGUUUUAUUGCUCUAUAUUUUCACACGCCUUUGUGGAAGGGAAGAGGAAACGCAGUCCUGAGAGUUUGCUCUCAUGAAGAGGAAGCCACAGCAAAUCCUGAUAGAGGCAGAAACCCCUUGGGUCAUAUUUUUUCUUGCUCUGUUGUAGGAGGAAAAUACUUGAGUGACUGGGUUCAUCUUCUCAGAUAAAGAAGGACUUCUUUAUUUGGAAUCAGUGUUGACCAACUAGGGCAUUGGAAAGUNNNNNNNNNNNNNNNNNNNNNNNNNNNNNNNNNNNNNNNNNNNNNNNNNNNNNNNNNNNNNNNNNNNNNNNNNNNNNNNNNNNNNNNNNNNNNNNNNNNNGUAAUAUAAUCCACUGGAGUGACAUGAAUUAAUUAGUGGUACGCAAUUCUCAGAGAAAGUCACUUUAUGGGUUCUUCUAUUGUAUAUUUUUCAGUUAUUAUUGCUAUUAUUAUUACUCUAUUGUAUUAUUCUAUACUGUUAAUUUUUAAGGACCUCUUAUCCCACUCUCUAAGGUUAGACUUAUAAGACUUGGCAGAACCUACAGCUUAACAUGGAGGCAGGACACAGGGUACAUUCAAAGUGGAGAUUGGCACUGUUAUAGAUCCCAUGACUUUUUUAAAAAUAUGAUCAAAAACAGAGAAAUUAACACUGCAAAAUAUGAUCCUAUACAUUUAAAUAAUUCACUUGGAUGGGUGUGGUGGCUCACACCUAUAAUCUCAUCACUUUGAGACGCUAAGGAGGGAAGACCACUUGAGGUCAGAAAUUCAGGAUGAGCCUAGCCAACAUGGUGAAACCCCAUCUCUACUAAAACAUACAAAAAAUUAGCUGGGCAUGGUGGUGGGUGCCUGUAAUUUCAGCUACUGGGGAGGCCAAGACAGGAGAAUUGCUUGAACCUGGGAGGCAGAGGUUGCAUUAAGUCAAGAUUGUACCACUGCACGCUAGCCUGGACAACAGAACAAGACUCCAUCUCAAAUAAAUAAAUAAAUUAAAUAAAGAUUCCA
rnacentral:lncRNA from 13 species